UACGGGGGGUGCGAGCGUUGUCCGGAAUCACUGGGCGUAAAGGGCGCGUAGGUGGUUUGAUAAGGGUGUGGUGAAAGUCCGGGGCUCAACCCCGGAUCUGCCGUGCCGACUGUCAAACUCGAGGGCUGUAGAGGCAGACGGAAUUCCGGGUGUAGCGGUGGAAUGCGUAGAGAUCCGGAGGAAGACCGGUGGCGAAGGCGGUCUGCUGGGCAGUUUCUGACACUGAUGCGCGACAGCGUGGGGAGCAAACGGG
rnacentral:rRNA from 1 species